UACAGAGGUCUCAAGCGUUUGUUCGGAUUCAUUGGGCGUAAAGGGUGCGUAGGUGGCGGGGUAAGUCAGGUGUGAAAUCUCGGGGCUCAACCCCGAAACUGCACUUGAUACUGCCUUGCUCGAGUACUGGAGAGGAGAUUGGAAUUUACGGUGUAGCAGUGAAAUGCGUAGAUAUCGUAAGGAAGACCAGUGGCGAAGGCGAAUCUCUGGACAGUUACUGACACUGAGGCACGAAGGCCAGGGGAGCAAAACGGG
rnacentral:rRNA from 1 species